rnacentral:rRNA from 1 species
CCUACGGGAGGCAGCAGUGAGGAAUAUUGGUCAAUGGGCGGGAGCCUGAACCAGCCAAGUCGCGUGAGGGAAGACGGUCCUAUGGAUUGUAAACAUCUUUAGGCGGGGAGUAAUGCCGGGCACGCGUGCCCGGAGGGAGAGUACCCGCAGGAUAAGCAUCGGCUCACUCCGUGCCAGCAGCCGCGGUAAUACGGAGGGUGCGUGCGUUCACCGGAAUUAUUGGGUGUAAAGGGUGCGCAUGCGGGAUGUUAAGUCACGCGUGAAAUGUUCCGGCUCAACCCCGGGCGGGCCGUUGAAACUGGCGAUCUUGAGUGGGCGAGAGGUAUGUGGAAUGCGUGGUGUAGCGGUGAAAUGCAUAGAUAUCACGCAGAACUCCGAUUGCGAAGGCAGCAUACCGGAGCCCGACUGACGCUGAGGCACGAAAGCGUGGGGAUCGAACAGGAUUAGAUACCCGUGUAGUC